GAUGAACGCUGGCGGCGUGCCUAAUACAUGCAAGUCGAGCGAACAGACGAGGAGCUUGCUCUUCUGACGUUAGCGGCGGACGGGUGAGUAACACGUGGAUAACCUACCUAUAAGACUGGGAUAACUUCGGGAAACCGGAGCUAAUACCGGAUAAUAUAUUGAACCGCAUGGUUCAAUAGUGAAAGACGGUUUUGCUGUAACUUAUAGAUGGAUCCCCGCCGCAUUAGCGAGUUGGUAAGGUAACGGCUUACCAAGGCGACGAUGCGUAGCCGACCGGAGAGGGUGAUCGGCCACACUGGAACUGGGACACGGUCCAGACUCCUACGGGAGGCAGCAGUAGGGAAUCUUCCGCAAUGGGCGAAAGCCUGACGGAGCAACGCCGCGUGAGUGAUGAAGGUCUUCGGAUCGUAAAACUCUGUUAUUAGGGAAGAACAAAUGUGUAAGUAACUAUGCACGUCUUGACGGUACCUAAUCAGAAAGCCACGGCUAACUACGUG
rnacentral:rRNA from 1 species